rnacentral:rRNA from 1 species
UACGGAGGGGGCUAGCGUUGUUCGGAAUUACUGGGCGUAAAGCGCGCGUAGGCGGCUUUGUAAGUUAGAGGUGAAAGCCCGGAGCUCAACUCCGGAAUUGCCUUUAAGACUGCAUCGCUAGAAUCAUGGAGAGGUUAGUGGAAUUCCGAGUGUAGAGGUGAAAUUCGUAGAUAUUCGCAAGAACACCAGUGGCGAAGGCGGCUGACUGGUCCGGUUCUGACGCUGAGGCGCGAAAGCGUGGGGGAGCAAACAGG